GCCAGUGUGGCACAGUGGUUUGAGUGUUGAACUGCAACUCUGGAGAUCAGGAUUUGAUUCCCAGCACAGCCA